GCAGUCGAGCGGACAGAUGGGAGCUUGCUCCCUGAUGUUAGCGGCGGACGGGUGAGUAACACGUGGGUAACCUGCCUGUAAGACUGGGAUAACUCCGGGAAACCGGGGCUAAUACCGGAUGGUUGUUUGAACCGCAUGGUUCAAACAUAAAAGGUGGCUUCGGCUACCACUUACAGAUGGACCCGCGGCGCAUUAGCUAGUUGGUGAGGUAAUGGCUCACCAAGGCAACGAUGCGUAGCCGACCUGAGAGGGUGAUCGGCCACACUGGGACUGAGACACGGCCCAGACUCCUACGGGAGGCAGCAGUAGGGAAUCUUCCGCAAUGGACGAAAGUCUGACGGAGCAACGCCGCGUGAGUGAUGAAGGUUUUCGGAUCGUAAAGCUCUGUUGUUAGGGAAGAACAAGUACCGUUCGAAUAGGGCGGUACCUUGACGGUACCUAACCAGAAAGCCACGGCUAACUACGUGCCAGCAGCCGCGGUAAUACGUAGGUGGCAAGCGUUGUCCGGAAUUAUUGGGCGUAAGGGCUCGCAGGCGGUUUCUUAAGUCUGAUGUGAAAGCCCCCGGCUCAACCGGGGAGGGUCAUUGGAAACUGGGGAACUUGAGUGCAGAAGAGGAGAGUGGAAUUCCACGUGUAGCGGUGAAAUGCGUAGAGAUGUGGAGGAACACCAGUGGCGAAGGCGACUCUCUGGUCUGUAACUGACGCUGAGGAGCGAAAGCGUGGGGGAGCGAACAGGAUUAGAUACCCUGGUAGUCCACGCCGUAAACGAUGAGUGCUAAGUGUUAGGGGGUUUCCGCCCCUUAGUGCUGCAGCUAACGCAUUAAGCACUCCGCCUGGGGAGUACGGUCGCAAGACUGAACUCAAGGAAUUUGACGGGGGCCCGCACAAGCGGUGGA
rnacentral:rRNA from 1 species